ACAAGCGGUGGAGCAUGUGGUUAAUUCGAUGAUACGCGAGACUUACCGGGUUGACAUGCAGGUGAUCGCCGUUGAAAGGCGGUUUCCUCUUCGGAGGCACCUGCACAGGUGCUGCAUGGCUGUCGUCAGCUCGUGUCGUGAGAUGUUGGGUUAAGUCCCGCAACGAGCGCAACCCUUAUCAUUAGUUGCUACGCAAGGGCACUCUAAUGAGACUGCCGGUGACAAACCGGAGGAAGGUGGGGAUGACGUCAAGUCCUCAUGGCCCUUAUGGGUAGGGCUUCGCACGUCAUACAAUGGUCGGUACAGAGGGUUGCCAAGCCGCGAGGCGGAGCCAAUCCCACAAAGCCGAUCGUAGUCCGGAUUGUUCUCUGCAACUCGAGAGCAUGAAGUCGGAAUCGCUAGUAAUCGCAGGUCAGCAUACUGCGGUGAAUACGUUCCCGGGUCUU
rnacentral:rRNA from 1 species